GGGGUCCCGCUUACCGCUUGCCAUUCGCCCGCAGCCCAGCGGUGCGUGGGGCACUCGGGGAGCUGGCAGUCCCGCUGGGCGGCAGGUUGGCUCGCAGGGUCGCACGCUGCCGUCGGGGCACCGCCGUGGCACUGCACCGCGCGCCGCUGGACACCGCGACCGCAGGACACCGAGCACUGCGGGAAGGGACAGAGGUGUGUUAAUGGUUUAUCCGGUAGGCAACUCGCAUGCAGUGAGAAUUGGUGUUUGGCACCUGAAUUUGCAAGGCAGACCGCGAGAGAACGCGACGCUUUACAAGGUAACAGCUCAUUUAGUCGGGGCCUUUCAAUAAUUCUGCUGAUUAGCACGCUAAUGAGGUAGAUAGAGAACUGAAGUUCAGAGCUAAAAAUGCGGUGCGGUGGACUCAAGGUGAAAACAAAAACAUUCCUUUCAGGAGAACAAGGGUUCAAGGUAUGCCCUCAGCAGACAAGAUGCUUCAGAGCUCCAUGCACAUCAGCAGCCUCUGCUCUACGCAUCCAGUGCCUGACUUGCUAAUGAAGCAAAGUUAAACGGUGAUGAUACUAAGAAACAGAAGGUAGCUCAAAGCGUUUUUAACGAGCAGCUCUGAUUGUUCUUCAGGCUUUCGCAGGAGGCUGAUAGCAAAAUGAACUUCAGAUUUCUCAAAACUAAAGCAGAUUUUGCUUGUGAUCUGACAUAUUUAAAUAACAACAACAUCAGAAACACGAAUAAAUAGCAGCUUCUCUUUAAUACUACACACUAACGGCUUUCCUAGCAGAAGCUUAACGUAUCCAAGGAAUUUGCUCUCAUUUAGACACCAAAAGCAAGCUGCCGUGUACAAAUCAGUGCUGCUCUGCUGCUGCCCAUGGAGCUAACAUAGUUUUAGGCCACCUGAGGAGCUGGCCCAAGCCUUAACCCUUGCAAAGAGGACUGAAGUGAUGGGAAAAUCGUGUCGGCUUCUAGCCAGUUUGAUAGAAGAGGAAUAUCAAAGGGUGCAAAAGGGUACACAACAUGUCUCACCUGUCCCCAAUCUCCUGAUUUCCACUUCGGACAUCUGCCCCCUCUGCAUUUCUUUUGCACAUUGGGCUUAACAAGGUGCUUGCAAUAAUCUUCUUCUACAUGCCUCCCUUCCUUUGUCAAACAGUACACAGUGCGGUGCCUUUGGCCCCUUCCACAGGAGACAGAACACUGUAAAUAUAAAGUAACAACAAAUCAGCUCCGGCGCAGGGCAACCUAUGUGGUUCAGCAAGGGCCGUGGCUAUGUUUUAUUUCAGCUGGACCAAGAAGAACAUGAAAGGGACCAUUUCCAUUUACCUCGGUACAAUGGGAGGUCAAAAGUUGGUAUACAAGGGGGGUAAAGUGUGAUAUGCACCUUGACAGAGGGAAGUAACUGCACAGAGGACUGGGCAGAGGGGCAAAACACAGUUUUUCCAUGUCCUCAGUAGUAAAGCUCCUGUUUGUUUUACUUUACACCAGCAUAGACUGAUUCUUUUCUUUUUUUCUUAAGUAAAACAAAGACGGAAAACCAGGACACACUCAUCCUUAAGAUUUAUGCAUUUUGAAAGCAACCCAGAAGAAGGCAGAGCCCGAGGAAUGAAAGCAAAAAGCAAAGCAGCAGGCAACGAGCAUCAGCAGCACAAAGGAAACAUCAACUCCGACUAAACCCACUUAUCAACCUCUAUCAUGUCUACCACGAAGCUGGUUGACAAACACUGGGUCUUGCAAAUAUGGUACCAUUUCCAAAAUUGCUAUCCCCCUUCUACAAAUCACUUGAAUUUGGUACAGAGCCAGACUGUGACAUUUAUCUUGGCAUCCCACGCCAAGACGUGGCAGGUCUACACGCACAUUUUGGCGCACCUAGAGAUGGAGGCAUAAUUAGGCUAAUUUUGUUAAUACUGAAACGUAAUUACCGAGAUGCUGGAAUUAAUCAUUUUGAUGUCUGCCUUUAAUAUAUAUUACAGUGAGGCAGCUGCGUGUUUGGUUUCACGCACAUGUGAGCUAUGAUCUCAUUUGCACUGACAGAAAAGACAGUUUGGAUAACCUGAUGCAAGCAAGUAUCAGAGACUGAAAAUUCCUUUGCAAAGAGCCUGCUUCAUAACUGCCUUCUAAUUCUUCUCAGGUACUUCCAAUUUUUACUUGGCACGUAGAUUUUAAGCAUAUGUGAGCCAUAUGCAAAGAACAACUCAAUAGCACACUUAUCUCAGUGCCAUUCGACCGAAGGCAGAGGUACACCUCACUGCUGCAGGCAUCCCUUAGCCCUGACCCCAGGAAACUUUGCAUUUCAUUAGCAGGAUCCUUUCAUCGCUGGAAAUGCUGCCACUGCCUUACAAGUCCAUCAAUAACAAUGCUGCAGUGAGGUAAGCCUUGACCUUGCUUUCUUUAAAGGUUUGAAAAGCACGGACAAAAAACACUCCUUUUGCAGACUCCUUUCUUUCUUUCCUUUCCCCCAACGCUGUAGAAAGUACUUCAAAGUUCCAGGGGGUGGAUAAGGGUCUCUCUGUGGAAUAGCAGCUUCAUCCCAGGCUCUUUGAAGUCAACAGUAAGACUCGUACUGGUAGCACUGUCUCUGGAUGCAGCCCUAGAGGUGUAGCCAAGGUACUGUAUUGCCUUUUCCACUGACCGACUCCCUAGAACUGGAGAUCACGUGCACUUGGACAUGCCCAUGAUCUCUGCCAAAGCGCUUGGAAACGUGACUGCUGGAAAAGCUGUUUCCAGCCUGUGGCAGAGGCACCGCAACAAACAUCAGCAGCCCUGGUUGGACAGCCAUGCUGGUGAUGGGAAAAGAACAGAUGGUGUUGUUUCUUUAAACAAACAACAGCAAACAAGAACCACAAAAACCCCAACCAGCCAACCAACAAAUCCAGAAAAAUUGUGGUACGUAAAUUAAUAGAGAAGCAAUAUUUCAAAAAGUAACCCAUAGCCCUUAUGCUACAGACACUGUAAACCUUCCUCUUGGUAUCAUCUUCAUCUCCUAAAACCACUGCAAUCACACCUGGUGCUUCACAAAGAAAAUCAGAACGAAAGGACCGUCCUAACAGCAUUAGGAUCAGAGUGUUUGAACACAGAUUUAAGGGAAUUAUGUUUAUUGCAUGAUUAGUUUUGUAAGCAUUCCAAGAGCCGUGGACUGGCACGCUGCUGGUUUUUCCAAAUAAAUAUACCAUCUAGCUUAAAUAAACGCAACAAAAAGAAUUUAAAUGAAAACAAGAAAAACAUUCCCAUGUCAACCGUUUCUAGAAAGAUCAGAACGUGAUGCUCAGCGUCAGUGAAAGGAAACAAGCAGCACAGAGCUGCCAAACAAUGGAGCGGCUCUGCUUUCGUUACCUUGGAGCACUGGACAUACUGCUGAACGGGGCAGAAAAGCCAAGAGGUGGCAAGAAUCUGGGUAAGUUCUCCACCAAAAAGGAGGAAGUUUCAGAAAAUGCUGUCACACCACUUUCCCUCUCAUCGGCGAUUUGGGAGGUAUUUGAGGUAAUGAAUGCAAGCUGCGCUGAUCGCCCAACGAAUUCCCCCAGAUAGGUAUGAUCAGAUAGCUUGGGAAGGGCAGCAGAGGGGGCUGGGAAGAAUUAGUCUA